rnacentral:rRNA from 1 species
AACGAACGCUGGCGGCAGGCCUAACACAUGCAAGUCGAGCGGACCCUUCGGGGUUAGCGGCGGACGGGUGAGUAACGCGUGGGAAUAUGCCCUUCUCUACGGAAUAGUCCUGGGAAACUGGGGGUAAUACCGUAUACGCCCUUUGGGGGAAAGAUUUAUCGGGGGAGGAUUAGCCCGCGUUGGAUUAGGUAGUUGGUGGGGUAAUGGCCUACCAAGCCGACGAUCCAUAGCUGGUUUGAGAGGAUGAUCAGCCACACUGGGACUGAGACACGGCCCAGACUCCUACGGGAGGCAGCAGUGGGGAAUCUUAGACAAUGGGGGCAACCCUGAUCGAGCCAUGCCGCGUGAGUGAUGAAGGCCUUAGGGUUGUAAAGCUCUUUCAGCUGGGAAGAUAAUGACGGUACCAGCAGAAGAAGCCCCGGCUAACUCCGUG